GAUGAACGCUGUCGGCGUGCCUAAUACAUGCAAGUCGAGCGAACGGACGAGAAGUUUGCUCCUCUGAUGUUAUCGGCGGGCGGGUGAGUCACUUGUGGUUAACCUACCUAUAAGACUGGGAUAAUUUUGGCAAAUCGGAGCUUCUAACGGAUGAUUUUUUGCACUUCAUUGUUCAAACGUUAAAGACGGUCUUUGUGUGACUAAUAGCUGGAUACGCCCUUCAUUAGUUAGUUGUCUAGGUAACGGCUUACCAAGGCAAGGACGGAUAGCCGACCUCAGAGGGUGAUCGCCCACACGGGAACUGAGGCACAGUCCAGACUCCGACGGUGAGCAGCGGUAGAGAAUCUUCCGCAAUGGAGGAGAGCCUAACGGAGCAACGCCGCGUAAGUGAUGAAGAUCUUCUGAUCGGUGAGCGCUGUUAUUAGGAAAGUACAUAUGUGUAAGUAACUGUGCACAUCUUGACGGUACCGAGUCAGAAAGCCACGGCUAACUACGUG
rnacentral:rRNA from 1 species